rnacentral:rRNA from 1 species
UACGAGGGGUGCGAGCGUUGCUCGGAAUCAUUGGGCGUAAAGCGAGUGUAGGUGGCCGCAAAAGUCGGGGGUGAAAUCCCAGGGCUCAACCCUGGAAGUGCCUUCGAUACUAUGUGGCUUGAGUGUGGGAGAGGGUGCUAGAAUUCCUGGUGUAGUGGUGAAAUACGUAGAGAUCAGGAGGAACAUCGGUUGCGAAGGCGAGUGCCUGGCCCAACACUGACACUCAGACUCGAAAGCGUGGGGAUCAAACAGG